AUUAUGUUUAUUAAGCUUCAAUGCCCUAAUCUGAUCAUCGACAUAAUGGAGGAAACACCUGGUUUGUCGUUCUUAAUGGGGAUCCUAUCUACAAAGAGCAUGCUAGGUGACUUCAAUUCAAGGGUUUUUGCUAAUGGUAACCUCCCAAAAGUAACAUUGCUUCUGAUGGAUGGAGGGUUCCUCAAUUUUCGUAGGGGAAUUGGAUAGAGAAUUGAAGAAGUCAGGCUGAGACUAUAAAACAAGCGCUUAUUGGGAGGCAACCCAAGUUCAAUUUUUAUUUUUAGUUUUUAUUAAGUUUUAUAUUAGUAGUUU
rnacentral:lncRNA from 1 species